rnacentral:rRNA from 1 species
UACGAAGGGUGCUAGCGUUGUUCGGAAUCACUGGGCGUAAAGGGCGCGUAGGCGGCUUUUCAAGUCAGAGGUGAAAGCCUGGAGCUCAACUCCAGAAUUGCCUUUGAAACUGUAAAGCUUGAGUAUUGGAGGGGAUAGCGGAAUUCCUAAUGUAGAGGUGAAAUUCGUAGAUAUUAGGAGGAACACCGGUGGCGAAGGCGGCUAUCUGGACAAUAACUGACGCUGAGGCGCGAAAGCGUGGGGAUCAAACAGG